rnacentral:snRNA from 1 species
AUGCUGUUUCAGCAGCACAUAUCCCGACAUUGGGAUACAGAGAAGAUGAGUGUGUCCCCUGAGCAAGAACAACAUGCAAGUUCCUGAAGUAUUCCAUAGGUAG